rnacentral:rRNA from 1 species
UACGGAGGAUGCGAGCGUUAUCCGGAUUUAUUGGGUUUAAAGGGUGCGUAGGCGGAUUUUUUAGUCAGCGGUAAGAUGUCCGGGCUCAACCCGGGCCGGCCGUUGAAACUGGGGAUCUUGAGUGGGCGAGAAGUAUGCGGAAUGCGUGGUGUAGCGGUGAAAUGCAUAGAUAUCACGCAGAACUCCGAUUGCGAAGGCAGCAUACCGGCGCCCGACUGACGCUGAGGCACGAAAGCGUGGGGAUCGAACAGG